rnacentral:ncRNA from 2 species
AAAGUCAUCGCGGGAGAGAUCGGUUCUGCCGACGCCGAAGGAGCAACCGCCCCGGAAACUCUCAGGCAAAAGGACCGCGAUGGUGGA